rnacentral:rRNA from 1 species
UACAGAGGUCUCAAGCGUUGUUCGGAUUCAUUGGGCGUAAAGGGUGCGUAGGCGGCGCGGUAAGUCGGGUGUGAAAUCUCGGAGCUCAACUUCGAAAUUGCACUGGAUACUGCUCUGCUAGAGGGCUGGAGAGGAGAUCGGAAUUCACGGUGUAGCAGUGAAAUGCGUAGAUAUCGUGAGGAAGACCAGUGGCGAAGGCGGAUCUCUGGACAGCUCCUGACGCUGAGGCGCGAAGGCUAGGGGAGCAAACGGGG